GAUGCCUGGGUUGUCAAAAGCCCUGUUUCCACAGGGGCCUGCUGCUGGGAGCAGCCCUUCCUCUGGGCUGAGCGGGCAGCUGUCUGCCUGCUGUCUGUGCUCUUGCUUCUCGGCAGGCACCCAGGGAUUUACCCCUUGGUAAGGGUUGGAGGCUCCAAAGCCAGGAGACGCAAAUAAUCAAAGAGCUGCUGCUGAUGGAGCAGAGAUGAAAGGGUUUCCAGGCCAGUCGGUGAUACACUUGGAGCUUCUCCCCGGGCAGCCACCCUGGGAUUCUUCCUGCACACGCCUUCUAUGGAUGUGGCAUUCACAACAGUAGAUAACACUGCACGUGGUGUUUCGUCAUCUGCAUUUUCAGUUAACUUACGGCAGACGUGGAAAGAUGGAGAAAAAUAUUAUUUCUAAUGCUGUCCUGCAUGAUUUGAGUCCUCAGCACCUGUGUCCAGAGUCACAUAGCAGAGAGUGACAUCAGCAAACUGGUGGACUAGGAAGCUCUAAGUUCUCAUUUCCCUGCAGAAACAUCAAAAAGAAAAGAAAAGAAAAGAAAAUCCUGGAAGCUGGCUUAAACAACUUUGUAGGAGUUCUUG
rnacentral:lncRNA from 1 species